rnacentral:lncRNA from 1 species
AAAGGCCCUGCAGCCUGGCGGGGGUGAACUGCUAAGGCUCCCCAUGGAUUUUUGUGUCAUGGCAGCUGGGACAAACCUGAAGACAUCUGGACACUUGGGACAACUUUCCUCAUUGAUAUACCUGAGGUGAUCAUUGCCACACCUGGAUUAUCACAGGAUUGAACUCAAGGCGUUCACACGGAGCUACAUCCCCAGUGCUUUUUAAAAUUUUGAGACAAUGUCUUGCUAAAUUGCCCAGGCUAGGGCUCAGACUUCUGAUCCUCCUGCUUCAGUCUCCCAAAGUGCUGCAAUUACAGACGUGCACCAGCAUGCCUGGGGCGAGCUGCAUGCGGCCUUCCCUGCAUACCCAGAAUGCCUGGGUCUCCAUUCAUGCUGACAUUGAGGCAGGGUUCCCCAGAAAACAGUCAUUUCAGGGUUGGGCCAUCAACCACACCUCUGCUCAUUCUGCAUGCAACUGCCCCAGCUGUCUAGUCAUCACAAUUUGGGGUUAGGGGUUUGGUUCCAGAACAGCAAACAGCAGCAGCAGCAGCAGCCCCAGCAAUUACUCUUACCACAUAGCCCAAGAAUAUUCCCAGAGUUGUCCCAUCAUGUUCAAUAUCUAGGCCAAUGCUUUUAGCUGUAUUAUCAAGCUUACUGCCAUUUAUAGAUUAAAAAGAAAACACAAAAAAAACCAACCCUGGGGCUAGAGAUUGCAACGUGGAAGACGAGGAUUUAUGUUUGGGUUCAAUUUCUGUAUCUGUACAUUGGAAAUAAUACAUACCACUUAGGGUUGCUGACAGGAUUAAAUAAAUGCUACGUAUGUGUUUACUUGUUUAUUGCCUAUUUUCUGCUCUAGACUAUAAACUCCAGCAAGCAAAGGCCUUCGCUUGUUCAUUGCUCUCUUGACAGAGCCUGAAAUCAGUGCCAGGUACAUAGCAGGUGUUCAAUAAAUUCUUUUUUUUUUU